GGGGUUGUGGCUCAGUGGUAGACUGCUCACCUGGCAUGCAUGAGGAACUGAGUUUGAUCCUCAGCACCACA
rnacentral:tRNA from 1 species